UGCUAGCUGGCGGAGCCUGAGGCCGGGCGGCGUCCGGGUCGGGGUGCUUUGUCGCGUCUCCCGUCGGGUGGCAGGCCAGGGAUUUGGGUGGAGAGUUGAGGACGUGUGCGCUUUUCUCUCUUUUCGGGCCUUUGUCGGUAGUAGAAAUCUCUGGCCACUCGUGGUAACGUUCUAUUCGUCGGAAUGAUGGAUUUCCUUUUGGAGAUACACCCGGGAGUGUUAACGGAAGAAAUGUUGUUUCUAAGAGAAAUGGGUAGAAAUAACCCAUUUUGAGGAAGCCAUGGCA